rnacentral:rRNA from 1 species
CAGCCGCCGCGGGAAUACGUAGGGUGCAAGCGUUAAUCGGAAUUACUGGGCGUAAAGCGUGCGUAGGCGGUUACUCAAGUCAGAGGUGAAAGCCCGGGGCUCAACCCCGGAACUGCCUUUGAAACUAGGUGACUAGAAUCUUGGAGAGGUCAGUGGAAUUCCGAGUGUAGAGGUGAAAUUCGUAGAUAUUCGGAAGAACACCAGUGGCGAAGGCGACUGACUGGACAAGUAUUGACGCUGAGGUGCGAAAGCGUGGGGAGCAAACAGGAUUAGAUACCCCCGUAGUCCCUGUCUCUUAUAC